rnacentral:rRNA from 1 species
AUACGUUGGGGGCGAGCGUUGUCCGGAAUUACUGGGCGUAAAGGGUGCGUAGGUGGCACUUUAAGUUGGAUGUGAAAUCCCCGUGCUUAACAUGGGAGCUGCAUCCAAUACUGGAGAGCUAGAGUGCAGGAGAGGUAAGCGGAAUUCCUAGUGUAGCGGUGCAAUGCGUAGAUAUUAGGAGGAACACCAGUGGCGAAGGCGGCUUACUGGACUGUAACUGACACUGAGGCACGAAAGCGUGGUGAGCAAACAGGAUUAGAUACCCUGGUAGUCCACGCUGUAAACGAUGAAUACUAGGUGUAGGGGGUAUCAACUCCCUCUGUGCCGCAGCAAACGCAAUAAGUAUUCCGCCUGGGGAGUACGGCCGCAAGGUUGAAACUCAAAUGAAUUGACGGGG